GAUGAAGAACGCAUCGAAAUGCGAUAAGUAAUGUGAAUUGCAGAAUUCAGUGAAUCAUCGAAUCUUUGAACGCACCUUGCACUCCUUGGUAUUCCGAGGAGUACGCCUGUUCGAGUGUUAUGAAGCUCUCAAAACGCAAUUGGCUUAAAACCUGAUUGUUGUUUUGGAUUUGAACUUUGCCGUGUUAUAACGGCUGGUUUUAAAAGUAUUAGCUGGUACUAGAACGAAUUGGUUCUACUCAACGUGAUAAUUAUCUGAUCGUUGAGGACAUUCCUUUCACGAGGAAUGGCCAUAGUAAAUUCAAUGGACUGCUUCUAAUCUGGCUUUAAUUCUUUAUUGGAUUAACCACUUUUCAAAUCUGACCUCGAAUCAGGUGGGACUACCCGCUGAACUUAAGCAUAUCAAUAAGCGGAGGA
rnacentral:misc_RNA from 1 species